UACCAAGCAGGGCUGGGGUUGAGGCCGGGU
rnacentral:piRNA from 1 species